UGGGGAAUCUUGCGCAAUGGGCGAAAGCCUGACGCAGCGACGCCGCGUGAGUGAUGAAGGCCCUCGGGUUGUAAAGCUCUGUGGGGAGAGACGAAUAAGGGCCGGCUAAUACCCGGCUCGAUGACGGUAUCUCCUUAGCAAGCACCGGCUAACUCUGUGCCAGCAGCCGCGGUAAGACAGAGGGUGCAAACGUUGUUCGGAAUUACUGGGCGUAAAGCGCGUGUAGGCGGCUGCGCAAGUCGGAUGUGAAAUCCCGUGGCUCAACCACGGAAGUGCACCCGAAACUGCGUAGCUUGAGUCUCGGAGAGGAAGGUGGAAUGCUUGGUGUAGAGGUGAAAUUCGUAGAUAUCAAGCGGAACACCGGUGGCGAAGGCGGCCUUCUGGACGAUGACUGACGCUGAGACGCGAAAGCGUGGGGAGCAAACAG
rnacentral:rRNA from 1 species